rnacentral:rRNA from 1 species
AUUGAACGCUGGCGGCAGGCCUAACACAUGCAAGUCGAACGAGUGGCGGACGGGUGAGUAAUGUCUGGGAAACUGCCUGAUGGCGGGGGAUAACUACUGGAAACGUUAGCUAAUACCGCAUACCAUCGGAUGUGCCCAGAUGGGAUUAGCUAGUAGGUGGGGUAAAGGCUCACCUAGGCGACGAUCCCUAGCUGGUCUGAGAGGAAGACCAGCAACACUGGAACUGAGACACGGGCCAGACGCCGACGGGAGGCAGCAGUGGGGAAUAUUGCACAAUGGGCGCAAGCCGGAUGCAGCCAUGCCGCGUGUAUGAAGAAGGCCGUCGGGUUGUAAAGUAAUUUCAGCGGGGAGGCGUUACCCGAAGAAGAAGCACCGGCUAACUACGUGCCAGCAGCCGCGGUAAGAC